rnacentral:rRNA from 1 species
ACCUUUCAAAGGUCUGGAAUAAGGGGUGGGUAGGGACGGUGCCAGCCGCCGCGGUAAUACCGGCGCCUCAAGUGGUAGUCGCUUUUAUUGGGCCUAAAACGUCCGUAGCCGGUUGGUACAUUCGUGGGUAAAUCAAGACGCUCAACGUCUUGAAUUCUGCGAGCACGGCCAGACUUGGGACCGGGUGAGGUGUGGGGUACUCUCAGGGUAGGGGUAAAAUCCUGUCAUCCUGAGAGGACCACCUGUUGCGAAGGCGCCACACUAGAACGGAUCCGACGGUCAGGGACGAAGCCUAGGGGCACGAACCGGAUUAGAUACCCGGGUAGUCCUAGGUGUAAACGCUGUGGACUUGAUGUUGGGAGUGCUCCGAGCGCCCUCAGUGUCGAAGCGAAGGUGAUAAGUCCACUGCCUGGGGAGUACGGUCGCAAGGCUGAAACUUAAAGGAAUUGGCGGGGGAGCACUGCAACCUGAGGAUUGUGCGGUUUAAUUGGAUUCAACGCCGGAAAACUCACCAUAGCCGACGGACAUAUGAAGGCCAGCGUAACGAGCUUGCCGGAUUGUUCGAGAGGUAGUGCAUGGCCGUCGUCAGUUCGUACCGCAAGGCGUUCUGUUAAGUCAGAUAACGAACGAGACCCUCAUCCCUAUUUGCCAAGAUCUGUCCGCAGAUCAAGGGACUAUAGGGAGACCGCUGGCGCGAAGUCAGAGGAAGGCGAGGGCAACGGUAGGUCAGUAUGCUCCGAAUGCUAUGGGCUACACGCGCAAUACAAAGGACGGGACAAUGGGCUGCAACUCCGAGAGGAUAGACGCUAUCCCGAAACCCGUUCGUAGUUCGGAUUGAGGGCUGUAACUCGCCCUCAUGAAGCUGGAUUAGGUAGUAAUCGCGUCUCAAAAAGGCGCGGUGAAUAUGCCCCUGCUCCUUGCACACACCGCCCGUCAAACCAUCUUAGUUGUGGGUGGGUGAGGCUGCCUCUCUGUGUGGUAUUCGAG